AGUAAUGCAUAGGAAUCUACCCAGUAGUGGGGGAUAACCUGGGGAAACCCAGGCUAAUACCGCAUACGUCCUACGGGAGAAAGGGGGCUUUUGCUCCCGCUAUCGGAUGAGCCUAUGCCGGAUUAGCUGGUUGGUGAGGUAACGGCUCACCAAGGCGACGAUCCGUAGCUGGUCUGAGAGGAUGAUCAGCCACAUCGGGACUGAGACACGGCCCGAACUCCUACGGGAGGCAGCAGUGGGGAAUAUUGGACAAUGGGGGCAACCCUGAUCCAGCCAUGCCGCGUGUGUGAAGAAGGCCCUCGGGUUGUAAAGCACUUUCAGCGAGGAAGAACGCCUAUCGGUUAAUACCCGUUAGGAAAGACAUCACUCGCAGAAGAAGCACCGGCUAACUCCGUGCCAGCAGCCGCGGUAAUACGGAGGGUGCAAGCGUUAAUCGGAAUUACUGGGCGUAAAGCGCGCGUAGGUGGCUUGAUAAGCCGGUUGUGAAAGCCCCGGGCUCAACCUGGGAACGGCAUCCGGAACUAUCAGGCUAGAGUGCAGGAGAGGAAGGUAGAAUUCCCGGUGUAGCGGUGAAAUGCGUAGAGAUCGGGAGGAAUACCAGUGGCGAAGGCGGCCUUCUGGACUGACACUGACACUGAGGUGCGAAAGCGUGGGUAGCAAACAGGAUUAGAUACCCUGGUAGUCCACGCCGUAAACGAUGUCGACCAGCCGUUGGGUGCCUAGCGCACUUUGUGGCGAAGUUAACGCGAUAAGUCGACCGCCUGGGGAGUACGGCCGCAAGGUUAAAACUCAAAUGAAUUGACGGGGGCCCGCACAAGCGGUGGAGCAUGUGGUUUAAUUCGAUGCAACGCGAAGAACCUUACCUACCCUUGACAUCCUGCGAACUUGUGAGAGAUCACUUGGUGCCUUCGGGAGCGCAA
rnacentral:rRNA from 1 species